CACGGGGGGAGCAAGCGUUGUUCGGAAUCACUGGGCGUAAAGCGCACGUAGGCGGCUUUUUAAGUCAGGGGUGAAAUCCUGGAGCUCAACUCCAGAACUGCCUUUGAUACUGAGAAGCUUGAGUCCGGGAGAGGUGAGUGGAACUGCGAGUGUAGAGGUGAAAUUCGUAGAUAUUCGCAAGAACACCAGUGGCGAAGGCGGCUCACUGGCCCGGUACUGACGCUGAGGUGCGAAAGCGUGGGGAGCAAACAGG
rnacentral:rRNA from 1 species